AAAUGCACAUAUUGUGAGCUUGAUGAGUAGGGCGGGACACGUGGUAUCCUGUCUGAAUAUGGGGGGACCAUCCUCCAAGGCUAAAUACUCCUGACUGACCGAUAGUGAACCAGUACCGUGAGGGAAAGGCGAAAAGAACCCCGGCGAGGGGAGUGAAAAAGAACCUGAAACCGUGUACGUACAAGCAGUGGGAGCACGCUUAGGCGUGUGACUGCGUACCUUUUGUAUAAUGGGUCAGCGACUUAUAUUCUGUAGCAAGGUUAACCGAAUAGGGGAGCCGAAGGGAAACCGAGUCUUAACUGGGCGUUAAGUUGCAGGGUAUAGACCCGAAACCCGGUGAUCUAGCCAUGGGCAGGUUGAAGGUUGGGUAACACUAACUGGAGGACCGAACCGACUAAUGUUGAAAAAUUAGCGGAUGACUUGUGGCUGGGGGUGAAAGGCCAAUCAAACCGGGAGAUAGCUGGUUCUCCCCGAAAGCUAUUUAGGUAGCGCCUCGUGAAUUCAUCUCCGGGGGUAGAGCACUGUUUCGGCAAGGGGGUCAUCCCGACUUACCAACCCGAUGCAAACUGCGAAUACCGGAGAAUGUUAU
rnacentral:rRNA from 1 species